UGGGGAAUCUUGCGCAAUGGGGGAAACCCUGACGCAGCGACGCCGCGUGCGGGAUGAAGGCCUUCGGGUUGUAAACCGCUUUCAGCAGGGACGAGGCCUUAUGGUGACGGUACCUGCAGAAGAAGCUCCGGCUAAAUACGUGCCAGCAGCCGCGGUAAUACGUAUGGAGCAAGCGUUAUCCGGAUUCAUUGGGCGUAAAGCGCUCGUAGGCGGUCUGUUAGGUCGGCAAGUUAAAUCCGGGGGCUCAACCCCCGUCCGCUUCCGAUACCGGCAGACUUGAGUUUGGUAGGGGAAGGUGGAAUUCCUAGUGUAGCGGUGGAAUGCGCAGAUAUUAGGAAGAACACCGGUGGCGAAGGCAGCUUACGGGAGCGCAACUGACGCUGAAGCUCGAAGGUGCGGGUAUCGAACAGG
rnacentral:rRNA from 1 species